UACGUAGGAGGCAAGCGUUGUCCGGAAUCACUGGGCGUAAAGGGCGCGUAGGUGGCGCCCCAAGUCCGUGGUGAAAGCUCGAUGCUCAACAUCGAGUCGGCCACGGAAACUGGGGGGCUCGAGCACUGUAGAGGCAGAUGGAAUUCCGGGUGUAGCGGUGGAAUGCGUAGAGAUCCGGAAGAACACCGGUGGCGAAGGCGGUCUGCUGGGCAGUAGCUGACACUGAGGCGCGACACGUGGGAGCAACAGG
rnacentral:rRNA from 1 species